AGCGAACGCUGGCGGCAGGCCUAACACAUGCAAGUCGAACGAACUCUUCGGAGUUAGUGGCGGACGGGUGAGUAACACGUGGGAACGUGCCUUUAGGUUCGGAAUAACUCAGGGAAACUUGUGCUAAUACCGAAUGUGCCCUUCGGGGGAAAGAUUUAUCGCCUUUAGAGCGGCCCGCGCCUGAUUAGCUAGUUGGUGAGGUAAAGGCUCACCAAGGCGACGAUCAGUAGCUGGUCUGAGAGGAUGAUCAGCCACAUUGGGACUGAGACACGGCCCAAACUCCUACGGGAGGCAGCAGUGGGGAAUCUUGCGCAAUGGGCGAAAGCCUGACGCAGCCAUGCCGCGUGAAUGAUGAAGGUCUUAGGAUUGUAAAAUUCUUUCACCGGGGACGAUAAUGACGGUACCCGGAGAAGAAGCCCCGGCUAACUUCGUG
rnacentral:rRNA from 1 species